rnacentral:lncRNA from 1 species
AUUCUAUCAGGCUGUGUUAGGUCUUUUCAUGGUUUAUUUUAUUUAAUACACACAAUCAUAGUCUAAGAUAGGCACUGUUAUCAUCCCAUUCUACAGAUGAGGAAAUCAGGCUUACCCAGGCUAAGGAAUUGCUCAAGGUUACAAGGUUAGGAAGUAUUGGAGGCAGGAUUUAAAUACAGACAAGUUUACUAACUUUAAAGCCAGUACUUUUACCCACAAUCCUAAUGUACUUCAUUUAACUUCUUCAGGCUUCAGGGUUCCUAUGUAUGAAAUAGAGAUUAUCCCUAUUUUCACUCUUGUCCCUCCAGUAUUCUCUACACAGUAGAUAGAAAGAUAGCAGCCAUUUGAACUGGGCUCAGCUUCCAGGGGCAUGACAUAAAAUUAAUGUCUGCAGUCAGCCUGUAUGGGCUGGUAUGGAUGUACUCCACAAAAUCCUCAGGGAGCUGAGCUUCUUCUAACUCCACACUGUCCGAUCCAGAGGGGUGACCCUUGUCUUCAUAGUCCAAUAUAGCAGCUGGUCUAUCAACCGUCACAUCUGCAUUCU